UACGUAGGCAGCGAGCGUUGUUCGGAGUUACUGGGCGUAAAGGGUGUGUAGGCGGUUCUUAAGUUUAGUGUGAAAUCCGUCCCGGCCUCAACCGGGAGGGUGCGCUGGAAUACUGAGGGACUAGAGUACGGGGAGAGGAAGUGGAAUUCCUGGUGUAGCGGUGAAAUGCGUAGAUAUCAGGAGGAACACCGGUGGUGUAGACGGCUUCUGGACGUAACUGACGCUGAGACACGAAGCGUGGGUAGCAAACAGG
rnacentral:rRNA from 1 species